GAUGUUGUGGCUCAGCGGUGGAGUGCUCACCUAGCAUGUGGGAGGCACUGGGUUCGAUCCUCAGCACCACA
rnacentral:tRNA from 1 species